AGGAGGAUUUCAUUAGAGGAAGUCAGACACAGUCACUCAGAAACAUUAGAGCUCACACUGAAACGGAGCUACAGCUCUGUGUCUUGUAGAAGAUUUAUUUUCAAAGCUACACGUGUGACGGUAAUAAUCCGUGCCAGAGCAGACCUCAUUAGCACUUCCGCUGGGUCGGCUAACCUUUCCGGUCACUCCAGGGAUGCUGCUGUCGAGUGAAAGUAGCAGUUCCUCCUGAAGGUCAGAGAUUGCAGCAUCUGAGGGCCUCUUCAAAAGAAGACGUAGUUGAUGAAGGCGUUCUGGAGCAGGACCAGAAAGACCACGACCAAGCAGCCUUGAGAUUUUAGGCAGCGUCUCCCUCAGGUCCCUCUCUAUCUCCCCACACAUCCACCAACCACUGGAACACAUCUCCAAAGUUCUGCUGGACCAGCUCAGCUUCCCCUCAGAAGAAGUGCUGCCACCUGACAGAUGAAGGAGCCUUUUGAGAGGCAGCUGGCAUCAUGAUUGGACUGUACUUUGGUCUGUUCCAAUCCAGCUUCAGCUCCAGAGACGGCAGGCGGGACGAGUCAACGGAGGCCGGAUGGACGAAGGCAUGCAGCUGAGUACAAUCUAGAAAACAACAGAGGAGGAGUACAGCAGCCCAGGACCAGAACAAGCAGAGUAGCAUGACCAAAGAACUACAGACUCUUCACAACCUGCUCAAACUCUUGGUACAGGACCUCACCACACGGGUCAAGAAGGUUUCCUUCUCAU
ensembl:lncRNA